rnacentral:tRNA from 1 species
GAUUGUAUAGCUCAGUUGGUAGAGCAUCGGAUUCCAGCGCUAUUGGUUCAGGCAUGGAGCCUCCCGAAGGUCAUCGGUUCAAGUCCGGUUACGAUCA